rnacentral:lncRNA from 1 species
GAUGUCGAAAGUUCAUACCAGUACAACAUCACAUUUUAACAAGAAUCCUUACAGCACGUCAAGGGCAUAAUCAUCAUGCGUUGAUCACGUCGCUAUGCUCAUUUACAGGCUGGCCAGACAUCUCAGAGAAAGAAUCAAGAUUUUCUCAAAGACAAAUAUCAGCAAGAGAUCAAACUUGGGGCACCAAGAGUAUUCACAUCUAUUGCGUGUUCAUCACAUCAUCAACUACCGAAUGUCGGGAAGUCAGAUCCAUUCACCAAUCAAUAGCCCAAUUCACAGUGACAAUCACCAGAAAAAACCAAAGCCCACCUUGGUGGCACCCACACAAAAACAAAUACAACCAUCACUGGUUUCCAGAAAACACAUCGCCUAUGAAAGGGAGGCCAAUCCCAAAACAAACCAAGCAUCCUUUGCAUUCAAACAUGCAUCACAUCAUACAUAACGCAUACAUAUCAUUCAUGUACAUAACACAAAUCAAAAUCCAAGGUUUAGUCGUAGGCAUCCAGGCCAACCCUCAAUUGAGUCAUUGUCACUUUCUCUGAGUGAGUUCCUAUCCUAUUAUCAGGCGUUCCCCAUUGAGUUAUAUCCUUCAACCUUUUGUUGAUAAGAUGUUAUCCUCAGAUAAGUCAAACAAUGUUUCUCCAAACACUUACUUUGUUUCACAUUGAGCAUCCCUCAAUAAGUCGUUUCCUGUAACCUUUUGUUGAUAAGAAACUACAUCUCCCCAGAGAACAUUGGUUCUGCAACCUUUUGUUGAUGGAUACCCUAAGCAAAUCUUACCCAGUAAAGUUCCAACACUACCCAACAAAUCAGGUGUACUGAACUUUGACAGUAGCCUUAUUUUUCCAAUAUUUUUCUCACUAUCAUCCUUUUGGUAAAACUUCAUCGAGGAAUAAUAUUAAUCAUCACCCUGUUUAUGAUCACCGUUAUCCUUUUGGUAUUGGUAAAUCAUUUACAUUUGUGAUCUUAUUGUCAUCCUUUUGGUGUCAAAGAUCCUUGAAGUUUUCGUUCAACCUUCAUCCUUUUGGUGAAUGGUAACCUCUGCAAUCAUUACACCCCACUGUCAUCCUUUUGGUGUCAGCAAUAUUUGAAGUUAUUAUAACUUAUUAUCAUCCUUUUGGUGGUAACAAGUUUUGAAGUUAUGAUCUCACCUUCAUCCUUUUGGUGAUGGUGAUUAUGAAGUUAUUAUAACUUAUUAUCAUCCUUUUGGUGGUAACAAGUUUUGAAGUUAUGAUCUCACCUUCAUCCUUUUGGUGAUGGUGAUUGUGGAUUCAUUAUCAUCCUUUUGGUGAUAACGAGUUCUGCUGCUUGUAGUACCUUCAUCCUUUUGGUGAUGGUGACUAUUGACUUAUUAUCAUCCUUUUAGUGAUAACAAGUUUUGUUGACUGGUCUUACCUUCAUCCUUUUGGUGACGGUGACCAUUUGAGUUAUGGACUUCUUAUCAUCCUUUUGGUGAUAACAAGUUGUGUCGUGAUCCUACUGUCAUCCUUUUGGUGAUGGUGAUCAAUUGUGUGUGUGACUUAUUAUCGUCCUUUUGGCGAUAACAAGUUGUGUCUUUUAACAAUACCUUCAUCCUUUUGGUGAUGGUGAUUGUUGACUUAUUAUCGUCCUUUUGGCGAUAACAAGUUGUGUCUUUUAACAAUACCUUCAUCCUUUUGGUGAUGGUGAUUGUUGACUUCUUAUCAUCCUUUUGGUGAUAACAAGUUGUGUCGUGAUCCUACUGUCAUCCUUUUGGUGAUGGUGAUCAAUUGCGUGUGUGACUUAUUGUCGUCCUUUUGGCGAUAACAAGUUGUGUCUUUUAACAAUACCUUCAUCCUUUUGGUGAUGGUGAUUGUUAACUUCUUAUCAUCCUUUUGGUGAUAACAAGUUGUGUUUUGAUCCUACCCUCAUCCUUUUGGUGAUGGCGAUCAAUGGCGUUGAGUGCUUAUUAUCGUCCUUUUGGCGAUAACAAGUUGUGUCUUUUAACAAUACCUUCAUCCUUUUGGUGAUGGUGGUUGUUGACUUAUUAUCAUCCUUUUGGUGAUAACAAGUUGUGUUUUGAUCCUACCCUCAUCCUUUUGGUGAUGGUGAUCAAUUGAGUGUGUGACUUAUUAUCGUCCUUUUGGCGAUAGCAAGUUGUGUCUUUUAAUUUUACCUUCAUCCUUUUGGUGAUGGUGAUUGUUGACUUAUUAUCAUCCUUUUGGUGAUAACAAGUUUGUGUUUUGAUCUUACCCUCAUCCUUUUGGUGAUGGCGAUCAUUGAGCGUGUGUACUUAUUAUCAUCCUUUUGGUGGUAACAAGUUUUAUCGUUUGACAAUACCUUCAUCCUUUUGGUGAUGGUGAUUGUUUUGACUUUAUCAUCCUUUUGGUGAUAACAAGUUUUGUUGUGGGAUCUUACCUUUAUCAUUUUGGUAACAGGUGAUUUUUGAAGUCGUUGAUUCAACUAUCAUCCUUUUGGUGAUAGCCUUGAUGUUAUACUCUUCGUAGUGGGAAAUUUUAUCAGAAUAACCAUCAUCCUUUUGGUGAGGACUACUCUGGAAGCUCGGUUUAUCCAUCAUCCUUUUGGUGAUGACAAUCCUGACAAUCAUAGUGAAUUACUAUCAUCCUUUUGGUGAUAGCGAUUAAUUCUACUGUCAUCCUUUUGGUGCCAGAAAGCAUGUUCAUGUGUCUCACAUCAGAAACGACCUUUGGCAAGAUUUGAAUGUUGACUCGAGGGUUGGCAUUGAUCGGACAUUCUACCCUUACUACCUUGGCAUCCAUUGCAUUUUCAUCUGCAUCUCUCCAUUACAUUUCAAAGGACAAAAUUUGGAUCCUUUCGUAUUUAAUUACCUUCCACCACGAAUGUAUGAAGACUGUUGUCAUUCUUACUUUCUAAUUCAAGAUAAAUUACAAUAGGGACUGGCCAACGCUGCUCGGAUUAUACUCCCAAUUUUGUCCAGCGGCCAUUUAAUUUUUCAUAGAAUUAAUGUACAUUUUUUAAUUUAGCAUCAUAUGCAUUAGCAUGACAUACAUUUGCAUCAUGAAUAAUACCCAAAAUGUCAGUCAGAUUGGACUGUAUUGAGAAUACAGACAAAAUCGGUUGAAUUGUCGAAAUUUGAGGAAGCACGUGUACUUUUUCAAUAAUGUGCUUUUGUGCUGAUAAUUUUGGCUGUGAUUUAUUUAAUUUUCCGAAUAAUUUUACUCAAUUUCUAUUUUAAAUUGGUCAAAUAUUUUUUAGAAUGAUUUUAAAUAUGGGUUAGUUUUUAAAUAUUAGUUAGAUUUUUUUUUAAAAAAUAUAUAAGUUAUAUUUGCUUUCAUAAAUAAUAUAGGUUUUUAUGAAUAUGAGUUAGAUUCUUCUAAAAAUUCUAUGCAUAUAUCUUUCUUUAUUUUUAUAUUAAUUAGAGUUUUUUAAAUAAUUAAUUAGUUUUAGGGAUUUGUAUAUAAAUUAUGAAAUCGUACUAUUUAUAUAUAUCACUAACAUUGGUUACCCAAUCCGAAAAAGACUAAAAUUCAAGAAUGUCACUCUCAUCGCUAUUCCCGCUCAUGUACCUCACCAUCCACUCGUAAAAUCUCUCAAACAAACAAUCUCUCGAUGGAUCUUCCACCUUUUCUGCUUCACCACCGGUCCUUUCAUUGCUCAUUGCCAAAAGACAAAAAAGUGGUAACCACAAAACAAUCCUUCUUUCACGCUCUCGAUUCUUCAUUCAUAAAACUCUCAACAGACCACAAAUAAAGGAAGAACGCUCUCACUACAUCCAAAAAGCGGACGAAACCUUAGCCGCUUACAUCUUCAUCUCUCGUUCUCCACCGUCCGCCGCCAUCAUCAUCGGCGCUCACCUUAGAUCAACUCUCCAUCAGCCGCCAACAUCCACACAUCAUCAUCUGCUAAAUCGUUCAUCUCCACCAAAAAACCAAACCUUACCGUCGUCCGCUCACAACCUCCGCUUCUUCACCACCAACAAUCGCCUCACCCUUCAACUCACCACCACCGUACACCAAACCACCGUUAAAGCUACCACCAUCACCGAAACCCUCUUCUCCUUCGUCAUCAACCGCUUCAAACCCUAUCCACCACUCUAAUCAUCAAACCCUCACCUUCGCCGUUACUAUCAAAGCCCUACCGUCGCGAAAUCCAUCUGAUCUACACUCAAAAUAGGAAGCCGCAUAAACAUCUCCAUUUACCGCCUCCGUCGGCAACAAUUUUUUCUAAUGUUUCUGGGUUUCUCUGUUGGUUUGUUUUAACAGGUUCUAUGACAGAUUCAGUAUCGCACAAGGUUUCGGAAAGCGACGAAACCAUGCUCGUCUUCAAUCUAGCGCGUGAGGUUAUAGUGUUGCGGAUGUGUUGAAGUGAUUAAAGCAAUACCUGUGAUUUAAUUCAGCAUUGCGGUAACGACAUAAUUUGAUUUCCUGCUGAGUUCUGUGUAUUAAUGUUGUUGUGUUACGUUUCAUUAUGCGGAUUUUUUUUCUCUCCGCCUUCAAUUCGGUGUUUAAUGUGUACCUGUGUAUAAAGUUAAGUAUAGCCAUUACACUUUGAAAUGUUGUGAAUGAUUUAUGUGCUGUUGUGUUUUACAUUUCCACGUCGAAAUCAAAUUUAUGAUGAUGGAUAGUCGAUGCUAGUAGCGAUGUCGCAGGUGUAAGGUUUAUGAGUUUUCAUGUCAAUUUUAGCAUCACUGUAAUUAAUUUUUUGGGGCUGUUAGUUCUGUUUCAUGUUUCCUUUUGAUUAGAGUUGAUGCAUGAUAUGAAUAAAUAUGAAUGUGGUUGUAAGACUCUUUAGUUUUUGAUAAUAAUUCUAUAGAGUACAAAUGUUGUGAGCUUUAAAUUUUAAUGGAAUUCUUGACUAUCAUUUAUGGACCAUUCUGGUGAUUGAAUUCAAUUAUGGAAAUUGGUGAUGUCAUUUGUAGUGAGAACGGUCCUGAUGCUUGUAUAAAGGUGAUACUCAAAGUCAUAUGGUUAGUUUCUCUAUGGGUGUUGUAGUCUUGGCAUUUCUUUUGCUGUCAUGUAUUCCAAAGUUACUCUUAUAUUCAUUAUGUUUCAAAGUUCAGUAAGUUAUUCCUAAUAAAAAUCAUUUUUUUCUUGUUAGUAAGAUUAAUUAAUUAAUUUUUAUCAAU